rnacentral:rRNA from 1 species
GACGUAGGAGGCGAGCGUUGUCCGGAUUCAUUGGGCGUAAAGGGCGCGUAGGCGGCCUGCUAAGUCGGACGUGAAAUCCCUCGGCUCAACCGGGGAACUGCGUCCGAUACUGGUGGGCUCGAAUCCGGGAGAGGGAUGUGGAAUUCCAGGUGUAGCGGUGAAAUGCGUAGAUAUCUGGAGGAACACCGGUGGCGAAGGCGGCAUCCUGGACCGGUAUUGACGCUGAUGCGCGAAAGCCAGGGGAGCAAACGGG